AACCGCAUCUGCAGCGAGCAUCUGAGAAGCCAAGACUGAGCCGGCGGCCGCGGCGCAGCGAACGAGCAGUGACCGCGCUCCUACCCAGCUCUGCUCCACAGCGCCCACCUGUCUCCGCCCCUCGGCCCCUCGCCCGGCUUUGCCUAACCUCCACGAUGAUGUUCUCGGGCUUCAACGCAGACUACGAGGCGUCAUCCUCCCGCUGCAGCAGCGCGUCCCCGGCCGGGGAUAGCCUCUCUUACUACCACUCACCCGCAGACUCCUUCUCCAGCAUGGGUUCGCCUGUCAACGCGCAGGUAAGGCUGCCGUGGCCGGAGGGUGCCGGCUCGGGGGCUCGGGACUUGCUCUGAGCGCACGCACGCUUGCCAUAGUAAGAAUUGGUUCCCCCUUCGGGAGGCAGGUUCAUUCUGAGCAACCUCUGGUCUGCACUCCAGGACGGAUCUCUGACAUUAGCUGGAGCAGACGUGUCCCAAGCACAAAGUCGCUAACUAGAGCCUGGCUUCUCCGGGGAGGUGGCAGAAAGCGGCAAUCCCCCCUCCCCCGGCAGCCUGGAGCACGGAGGAGGGAUGAGGGAGGAGGGUGCAGCGGGCGGGUG
rnacentral:sRNA from 1 species